rfam:Caenorhabditis brenneri strain PB2801 C_brenneri-6.0.1_Cont76.21, whole genome shotgun sequence.
GCCUUCAUGGCGUAGUGGCUAACGCUCUUGUUUUUGAAUUUCGAGGCCGUGGGUUCAAUUCCACGUGGGGCCA